rnacentral:rRNA from 1 species
GCAUAUCAAUAAGCGGAGGAAAAAGAAACCAACAGGGAUUGCCCUAGUAACGGCGAGUGAAGCGGCAACAGCUCAAAUUUGAAAUCUGGCCCUCUCAGGGUCCGAGUUGUAAUUUGCAGAGGGUGCUUUGGCGAUGGCUGUGGUCUAAGUUCCUUGGAACAGGACGUCACAGAGGGUGAGAAUCCCGUACGUGGCCGCCAGCCUCCGCCGUGUAAAGCCCCUUCGACGAGUCGAGUUGUUUGGGAAUGCAGCUCUAAAUGGGAGGUAAAUUCCUUCUAAAGCUAAAUACUGGCCAGAGACCGAUAGCGCACAAGUAGAGUGAUCGAAAGAUGAAAAGCACUUUGGAAAGAGAGUCAAAAAGCACGUGAAAUUGUUGAAAGGGAAGCGCUUGCAGCCAGACUUGCCUGUAGUUGCUCACCAGGGCUCUUGCCCUGGGCACUCUUCUAUGGGCAGGCCAGCAUCAGUCCGGGCGGUUGGAUAAAUGCCUGCUACAUGUACCUCUCUUCGGGGAGGACUUAUAGGGUAGGCGACAUACAACCAGCCUGGACUGAGGUCCGCGCAUCUGCUAGGAUGCUGGCGUAAUGGCUGUAAGCGGCCCGUCUUGAAACACGGACCAAGGAGUCUAACAUCUAUGCGAGUGUUUGGGUGUAAAGCCCGAGCGCGGAAUGAAAGUGAACGGAGGUGGGAACCCCUCGGGGUGCACCAUCGACCGAUCCUGAUGUCUUCGGAUGGAUUUGAGUAUGAGCAUAGCUGUUGGGACCCGAAAGAUGGUGAACUAUGCCUGAAUAGGGUGAAGCCAGAGGAAACUCUGGUGGAGGCUCGCAGCGGUUCUGACGUGCAAAUCGAUCGUCAAAUUUGGGCAUAGGGGCGAAAGACUAAUCGAACCAUCUAGUAGCUGGUUCCUGCUGA